UAAAAAAUUUUUAACCUUUCAGUUUCGACCAUAUUUGGUUACCGAAAACUCUACCGAACUAUAAUCUCUGGCAGAUAGCAGUAAGAUUUUAUUUUCCACCUUCCGGGUGUCGGAUUGACAUGAAACUUUAAAUCUAGCCUCAUAAAAAUAAUUCCGACAUAUUCUCCAGUUUUCAUAAUUUUCUGACACUGUGCAUUUUCUACUAAAAUAUCAGUCUCGUUUCGCACAGAAAAUUUUAAAUCUUCUGCUUUCGUUCCGAUUUCAACACAAGUCAUUUCUGACUUAUAUUUUAUCUCUCUAAAUCUAAUAAAAAUAGAAUCUCACACUAUUUUUAUUUAUUUUUUUACUUUUAUACCAAAAUCUAGUAUGUUACAAGACCGGUCCCCACAGGGACUCCGCAUUGCUU
rnacentral:lncRNA from 1 species